rnacentral:misc_RNA from 1 species
AAAUUUCUAAAUUGCCGAAGUUCUCAAAAAUGUUCAAUUUUUGUAAAGGUUACAAAAAAGGGCCCAUAGUGAAUAGUAUAUUCUUAUUCAACAUAGUCUUUUCCCCUAGAUAAAUCUACUAUGCUCGACACUGUACCCGCGGUCGAAAGUUCAACGGUUCCUUGAACGCAUGCGCAGUGAAGGUAGUUGGCGCGGAACACCCGGAUGUGCUGCCGCAUGAACACGGUACGGUAGAAGGAAGAGGCAUGACGCCAUGUUUUGAUGUCGUCAUCCCCCCCCAAACCGCUGUUUCUUGAGCAGCACAAUAGUCUGUCAGUGUUUUUCUGUUGUGUACCUCGUGUUCCGUGUUCCUGGUGGCCGUUCUGGCGUGCCUGCCCGGGCCUCUCCACCGUCGCGUCGCAAUUGAAUGCUCACCUCUAAGGCCGAGGCUUGUCCCCGUGAGUUGACGGUCGCUGAAAGUGGCCCUUCGUGUCUUUUCAUGUCCGGGGAAGUAACCGCGGAGCGGGGGGGGUCCACGAGCGUCGUCUACGUGGUGGUAGUGUCCUAGUGCGGGGAGGACGAGCGACCACGAUCCUCCACCGAACGGUUUAUUCAAGUGGUUACGUCACGCAAUCCUGAACUAGGCUUUCGGGGGAAACGCUUUGCUGAAGAAGUGGACGACGACGGCGACGGGGACGAGGACGACGGCCCUGCUAAAAUGGAGCUGCGCCUGCACUCGCCAGCCGGAGCAGAACCGAUCGUCUAUCAAUGGCCCCUUACCUCCGGAUCCGGAAAUGAUCGACACGAUGGUGCACUUGAUGUUGUUGAAACAAUGCGGUGGGUUUGUGAGGAUUUGCCAGAUUUAAAGCUACCAUUAGAAAACAAUAUUUUAUGUAAUUAUGACACAAGAGAUUAUGAAAGUAUGAAAAGUUUAUGUGACAGAUUCAAUAGAGCAAUUGACAGUUUAGUUCAGUUGGAAAAGGGCACUAGUUUACCAUCUCAGAGGUUAAAUAAAAGACCCAGUCGAGGUUUAUUAAGACAUAUACUUCAACAAACGUAUAAUCAGGCGGUAGUUGAACCAGAUAAAUUAAAUCAGUAUGAACCAUUUUCACCAGAAGUGUACGGUGAAACAAGUUAUGAGCUUGUGUGUCAAAUGAUUGAUCAGAUUGAUGUAACGGAAGAUGAUGUAUUUGUUGAUUUGGGAUCUGGAGUUGGUCAAGUAGUUCUCCAAAUGGCAGCAGCAACCUUAUGUAAAAUUUGUAUUGGUGUUGAGAGAGCUGAUGUACCUUCAAGAUAUGCACAGAGUAUGGAAAUAAACUUUCGUAAAUGGUUGAAUUGGUAUGGGAAAAGAUGCGGCGAAUAUCGUUUGGUAAAAGGCGAUUUUUUAGCUGAUGAACAUCGGGAAAGCAUUACUGGCGCUACGAUAGUAUUUGUCAAUAAUUUUGCAUUUGGUCCAACGGUAGAUCAUCAGUUGAAAGAGCGAUUUGCCGAUUUAAGAGAUGGUGCCCGUAUAGUAUCCUCAAAGUCAUUUUGCCCCCUCAAUUUUCGCAUAACGGAUAGAAAUCUUAGCGAUAUUGGUACAAUAAUGCAUGUGUCAGAAAUGUCACCAUUAAAGGGUUCUGUAUCUUGGACUGGUAAACCAGUGUCUUAUUAUUUACAUGUAAUCGAUCGUACCAAGUUAGAACGUUAUUUCCACCGUUUAAAGAAUAAUAAACAAGGUGGUGAUGAGAACUCUGAUUCUGUGAUAAAUAACACUGCCAGCAAUAGUAAUAAGAUUACAAGUAGAAACGAGAGAGGCGAUAGAGCUAAACGAGAUUUGUCAAGGCAGUUAGAUAGUCCAAAUCAUUCCGAACAACAAGGAACGAAUAGCGAUACAGAUUUGGAUGAGAAUAAUAUUAAAAAUCGUCGGCAACCAAAUAAAAUUCGUAGGAAGUUAAAUAGAAAAACUAAUGGUAUUACAAGGCCUCCAACUAGAGGCAGACAGAGGGGAAGAGGUGUGAAAAAAUCUAAACCGAAGAAAGCAAUUAAUAUUUCGGGUCUAGAUUUGCUACAUAGCCAAACGUUACUUAGUACAUCCCCUCAAGCUUUGGGAAAGAAACCACCACCCGCGCCUGGUUGUGUGGAUCAACAACUGUCUUCAUUGUCACUUUCUUUACAAUCACAUUCCACCUCUGUGCAUGAAGAACUUAGUAUACCACCUGCUCCGUCCGCCACUCCAUAUGCUUUACAAAUACUUUUGGACUUGUAUAGGGACCAAUUCAUGCUCAUGUUAGAAUCAAUGAGAACUCCUUCGUAUAGAGUAUCAGUUAACACAGACAUUGCAAAAGAAAGAGAAAGAAAUUCCAAAUUACAGUCUAGAGCGGCGCAAUUAGAAAAACAGAUAAAGGUACUAAUCGAUGAUAGCGUAGCACUUCUAAAAGCACGGAUGACCGAGUUAGGUAUAAAUGCAACAUCGCCGGGUGAUUUACUUGCAAAAGCUAAGGAAAUAGUUCUUAGACAUAAACAAUUGCAAGCUAAAGCAAGUAAACUGCAAGCCCAAGUUGCAUCCAUGGAAAGUGAACAGUCGAGAUUGACUGCGCUUAGGCACCAAGAAUUGCAAGAGAAAUACAGCAGUCUUACGAAUGCAAACGGUAUAUCAAAUCCACCACAACCGCUUACUCAGGAUUACAUAUUAAAAGAAAUAUCCGCAACAUUGUCUCAACGCAAAAGAUUACAUUGUCAGGUAUCCAAAUUGGAACAUGAAUUGAAUGUAUUGGAAAGAGCGAGCAAUGAAAAACAAGUAGCUGCAAUUGCUCAACAACAACGAGAAGCAAUGAACACGAAACAUUCGCAAAGUCAACAUCAUCAUCAGCAACAAAAUGGAAAAAGUGGAUCAUCACGGAAAAACAGAGAAGGACGUUCUAGAUCGCAAGAGUGGCCAGAUGUGCCCGAUAUCGGAAAAAUUCAAGAAAACAAUCCAGAAAUAUUGGCACAAAAAAUUUUAGAAACAGGCAGACAAAUAGAAGCUGGUCGAAUAUUAAAUAGACAAAACACGAAUACGAAUAGCAAUUCUAGAACUAGACUGCCACAAGCGUCUCUUAGUUUUUCUACUAGUUCGUCGUCAAUUUCAUCUUCACAAUUACAAGCAAAUAAUAAAGAAACAACAAAUAGAACUCAGGAACCUCCUAGGGUUGCAAAUUUUGAAGAUAGAUUAAAGAGUAUUAUUACGAGCGUUUUGAACGAAGAUCAACAGAAUAGAAAUAAACAACAACAAAUGCAACUACAGGUGCAAUUACAAAAUCAGACUGAACCAGAUAGGAAACGUAUCGCUUUACCACAAAAUGUUUCUACUCCUGAUUAUACACAGGUUUCACCUGCAAAACUAGCUCUUCGCCGUCACUUGUCUCAAGAACGUCUUUCUUCACACUUAACACCAUCCGAUAGGUCAACAAUUGACUCUAGGCAAUCGAGUCAUGACAAUCGUAUUGUAACAGGGGGGAAUGGAUUGCUUGGUACUAGAACAAUCGGUGAUUUGGUUAGCGGAGAAAUAGAGAGAACUUUAGAAAUAUCUAAUCAAUCUAUAAUAAACGCUGCUGUUGAUAUGAGCGCAAUGAUAAGGCCGGAGACUGUAUAUUCUCCUAUCAGUAGACCAGCUAGUGCCGAGGGUGAUGCUGGUUUGUCAACUCUCGCACACGUAGCAAGUUACGCUCCAACUUCUUCAGCAGUUUCGACAUGUACUCCUACCACUACUUCAAGAUCAUCUGUAUUGUUUACUCCCGUUACGCAACCGCAGAGAUAUACACCAGUUCAGUUACCUCGCGCAGAUAUCAAGCCUUAUCACGAAUCGUAUUUCUCCGACAAUCCUCAGUCGCUCGCGCAAAAUCAUCCUCCACCAUCAUUGCAUUCAUCUCAAGCUGUGUCGAACGGUGAACUUUUACCGGUAGAAGGAUUAGCUGCAUCUUUACAUGCUCGUAUAUUGAAUAAUCAUAAUACAAAAACCGAGCCAAUGCUUUCUACAAGUAGAAGAUUUCAACCGUAUCCACGGUAUGCAACCAGUAGUAACAGUAAUGGCAGUGCAACAACAAAUGGUAUUGUGACAGCCAUUUGUCAGUCACAGCCUGCGAUGUCAGUAAAGACAGAAGCAGUUGUAUCGUCAGUAAGCACAAGCGGAGCACCAUUAAGUCCCCUUGUAGAACCACAUUCUAAUACAUCUACACCACUAGUUGAUGAACCCCAAAUGACAACGCAGAGACAACGAAACGGUAUCGGUGACGACGAUGCACUGUAGCUGUUUGUUGGUUAGAUCUGUCUGUCACAUACUCAAUCUCACUCACAACCCUUGAAGCUUGUUUUAUUAGAGAUUGAGACACGUUCAGAGGAGAAAUCAAAAAGUACGGCUGCCUGUGGGUUGGUUCGUGGUUGCUGAUGGAGAGGCAGAUUGGCAAGACCGUAUCAGUUCUGGAUUCGACAGACUGGUUGCAUUCGCGUCUACGGAACUGGACAAACGAAGAAG